rnacentral:rRNA from 1 species
AUUGAACGCUGGCGGCAGGCCUAACACAUGCAAGUCGAACGAGUGGCGGACGGGUGAGUAAUGUCUGGGAAACUGCCUGAUGGAGGGGGAUAACUACUGGAAACGGUAGCUAAUACCGCAUACCAUCGGAUGUGCCCAGAUGGGAGUAGCGAGUAGGUGGGGUAAAGGCGUACCUAGGCGACGAUCCCUAGCUGGUCUGAGAGGAUGACCAGGAACACUGGAACUGAGACACGGUGCAGAGUCCUACGGGAGGCAGCAGGGGGGAAUAUUGGACAAUGGGAGCAAGCGUGAUGCAGCGAUGCCGCGUGUAUGAAGAAGGCCUUCGGGUUGUAAAGUACUUUCAGCGGGGAGGCGUUACGCGCAGAAGAAGCACCGGCUAACUCCGUGCCAGCAGCCGCGGUAAUAC